AUGGUGUUGUGCGACCCCUUGCACCGGCGGUGUCUCCUGCUUCCCCCAAUCCCCGAUGACCUAGCCGCUUCGGUCGUUGACCAACUCCUGAUAGAAGGGCAUUGCUUCGCCGAGACCUUCCUCGUCCCUCCCAGCAACGACGACGAGGAGGCAGCAGCUGCCACGGAGGAGGAGGGGACAUCAUUCAGGGUGAUCUGGAUGGUGCUGUUUGAAGCUAAACUCGUGGCCGCUGUCUUCUCUUCCGGCACAGGGAAAUGGCAAACCCUGAGUCGGAGCGAGCCGUUACCUGGCUUUUUGUUAUCGACGUGGAAGUUUUGGUUCGUGUCGCGCCAUUACGCCCAUGGCUGCUUCUACUGGGUUUCAGGUUCAACUGAAAAUUGCUGGUGCUUGACAUUCAGAGGAUGGAAUUCUCCAUGGCCGACCACCCACCCGGUGCCAGACAUUCGGGCGAUGAUGUGGCCAUCGUGGAGGCAGGCCAAGGCAUGA
rnacentral:rRNA from 1 species